rnacentral:lncRNA from 1 species
GAGUGUCACCUCCUCCUGAUCCUGCUGGAUUCUGGAUAAAGCUGCUGCACGUUGAGACAAGGAGAAAGGAAAACCAGCCAGAGCCUCAUCAAACAGGACAACAGGAAUCCUGCCUGAGACUGGCUGAGCAAUGGGAUGGAUGCUUAUCAGCUUUUUUUUGAGGCGAGGGAUGAAAAUAUUAUUCAAGAGAAGGUUGGAUCUUCACUCUUGGUCCUACAGUUCCAAGGAUCACCACUGGCUGAGAUAACACCCUUCUUCUGAUGGAUUUCUGCAGAGGAAGUUGUCUGGAGGCAAAUUCCAAAGUGUGGAUCUCUCUGGAAUGGUUCACAUGGGGAAUGUUGCAAACAUUUGAUUAUUUGGCUCAUUCAUCAGUCUGAACAAACAGCCAAGAAGAGGAAACUAACAAGCAAACACAUUUCAAGUGCUGUUUGCAUUUCAAUGCCCCCAAAAGAGUCAGUUUGGUUUAGAAAUGGAAAAGAGUUCCAACAGCUGGGGUGAAAUAAAGAAAAAAAAUCAAAUUAUUGUUCUUUCAUUUUAUCGUCCUGGGUUGAAGAGAUUGUCCAGAUUCAAUUUGUCAAGCCACCAAUUGCUGAAGUAGAGCUGUGUUCCCUGACAAUCAGUUACAAAUCCAGGGAAUUCCACCCAGCUCCUGCUGCAGGAGAGAGCAGGAAGUGAUGCUGGGGUGACAAGGGGGGGAAGCUGCAGCUCGGACUCCACCCUGCAUUCACCCCAACUUAAAGCAAGAGUCCAAGAUGGGCUUUUCUUACCUUUCCCUUCCUUACAAAGCCUAGGAAAUAAAUUCAGGGCAACCACAGCAUUUUUAAAGAUCCCUCCAGUCCUGUGGGUUUUGGUGGUGAAGCCUUACUGGAUGGACAGGGACUUUGCUUUAGGGGAAAAGCAUUUAUCUGGGGACCAGCUGAGAAGAAACCAUUGAUGCUCCUGUAGGAUUCCAGCACUGGUCCCACAGAACAGCCACACAACCCUGCCAGGAGAUCCAGCUCCUCCACGCUUUGUUAGCAGGAUACCUGCAGGGAGAAAUCACCCAAAUCCAGCAGAAAGGGCAAGAAGCAGAAGGUUCAAAUCCAAAUUGAGUUGAGCUGCUGCUGUUCUCAUAAAAGAAUGGUCAUUUCUGCCCAUUUUGGGUGGUAAGAGGCAGCUCAGAAGGUCCAGGUAAGAUUCAGGGGGCUCUAAGGUACCUUAAAGCAUGUUCAGAUCAGCACAGGGGAUCCCAAGGAAGCCUGGCUGCCCCAUCCCUGCAAAAGUUCAAGGCC